GAUGAACGCUGGCGGCGUGCUUAACACAUGCAAGUCGAACGAAGCACUUUAUUUGAUUUCCUUCGGGAUUGAUUAUUUUGUGACUGAGUGGCGGACGGGUGAGUAACGCGUGGGUAACCUGCCUUGUACAGGGGGAUAACAGUUGGAAACGGCUGCUAAUACCGCAUAAGCGCACAGCAUCGCAUGAUGCAGUGUGAAAAACUCCGGUGGUAUAAGAUGGACCCGCGUUGGAUUAGCUAGUUGGUGAGGUAACGGCCCACCAAGGCGACGAUCCAUAGCCGACCUGAGAGGGUGACCGGCCACAUUGGGACUGAGACACGGCCCAAACUCCUACGGGGGGCAGCAGUGGGGAAUAUUGCACAAUGGGCGAAAGCCUGAUGCAGCGACGCCGCGUGAGCGAAGAAGUAUUUCGGUAUGUAAAGCUCUAUCAGCAGGGAAGAUAAUGACGG
rnacentral:rRNA from 1 species